UACGUAGGGUCCGAGCGUUGUCCGGAAUUAUUGGGCGUAAAGGGCUCGUAGGCGGUUUGUCGCGUCGGGAGUGAAAACUCAGGGCUCAACCCUGAGCGUGCUUCCGAUACGGGCAGACUAGAGGUAUGCAGGGGAGAACGGAAUUCCUGGUGUAGCGGUGGAAUGCGCAGAUAUCAGGAGGAACACCGGUGGCGAAGGCGGUUCUCUGGGAAUAUCCUGACGCUGAGGAGCGAAAGUGUGGGGAGCGAACAGG
rnacentral:rRNA from 1 species